UCUGUAGAUUUGGGUGGCACUCUGUCAUAACCAUUCAGCUAAGGAUAGCCUAGAAUUCCUCCUUACCUGUAAGGGGUUAAGAAGCUCAAAUAACCUGGUUGGCAUCUGACUAAAAGGACCAAUGUGGAAAGAAGAUACUUUCAAUUUUUGGAGGGUGGGAGGAGGCUUUGUUUUGUGUGUUCUCUUG